rfam:Actinoplanes sp. N902-109, complete genome.
CUUCACCGAGCCGAGCAACAGCGGCACCGACCGGUCCUGCCCAUAGGUGGCCAGCAGCGCUUGCGCCUC